UGGGGCUGGUGUACGCGGCCGACGCGGGCGUUCUCUACGCCCGUUACUGCCAGGUCUGCCACCGGGAGGACGGCUCGGGCACCCCCGGCACCUUCC
rnacentral:tRNA from 1 species